GAUGAACGCUGGCGGCGUGCUUAACACAUGCAAGUCGAACGAAGCACUUAAUGAGAUUUCUUCGGAUUGAUUAUUUUGUGACUGAGUGGCGGACGGGUGAGUAACGCGUGGGUAACCUGCCCCAGACCGGGGGAUAACAGUCGGAAACGACUGCUAAUACCGCAUAAGCGCACAGUGCCGCAUGGCACAGUGUGAAAAACUCCGGUGGUCUGGGAUGGACCCGCGUCCGAUUAGUUAGUUGGCGGGGUAACGGCCCACCAAACCGACGAUGGAUAGGGGUUCUGAGAGGAAGGUCCCCCACAUUGGUACUGAGACACGGACCAAACUCCUACGGGAGGCAGCAGUGAGGAAUAUUGGUCAAUGGGCGUAAGCCUGAACUAGCCAAGUCGCGUGAGGGAUGAAGGUUCUAUGGAUCGUAAACCUCUUUUAUAAGGGAAUAAAGUGCGGGACGUGUCCCGUUUUGUAUGUACCUUAUGAAUAAGGAUCGGCUAACUCCGUG
rnacentral:rRNA from 1 species